rnacentral:rRNA from 1 species
CCUACGGGUGGCAGCAGUGAGGAAUAUUGGUCAAUGGUCGCAAGUCUGAACCAGCCAUGCCGCGUGCAGGAAGACGGCUCUAUGAGUUGUAAACUGCUUUUGUACGAGGGUAAACGCAGAUACGCGUAUCUGUCUGAAAGUAUCGUACGAAUAAGGAUCGGCUAACUCCGUGCCAGCAGCCGCGGUAAUACGGAGGGUUCGAGCGUUAUCCGGAUUUAUUGGGUUUAAAGGGUGCGUAGGCGGUCGGAUAAGUGUGAGGUGAAAUCCCGAGGCUCAACUUCGGAAUUGCCUCUGGUACUGGUCGGCUAGAGAGUACUGGCGGUAGGCGGAAUGUAUGGUGUAGCGGUGAAAUGCUUAGAGAUCACACAGAACACCGAUUGCGAAGGCAGCUUACGAAGCUACUUCUGACGUUGAGGCACGAAAGCGUGGGUAGCAAACAGGAUUAGAUACCCGGGUAGUC